rnacentral:rRNA from 1 species
AUUGAACGCUGGCGGCAGGCCUAACACAUGCAAGUCGAGCGAGCGGCGGACGGGUGAGUAAUGCCUGGGAAUUGCCCAGUCGAGGGGGAUAACAGUUGGAAACGACUGCUAAUACCGCAUACGAUUGGAUUGCCCAGGCGGGAUUAGCUAGUUGGUGAGGCAAUGGCUCACCAAGGCGACGAUCCCUAGCUGGUCUGAGAGGAUGAUCAGCCAGACUGGAACUGAUGCACGGUCCAGGAUCCUACGGGAGGCAGCUGUGGUGAAAAUUGCACGAUGGGGGAGACCCUGCUGCAGCCGUGCCGGGUGUGUGAAGAAAGCCUUCGGGUUGUAAAGCACGUUCAGCGAGGUGGCGUUACUCGCAGGAGAAGCACCGGCUACCUCCGUGCCAGCAGCCGCGGUAAUAC